rnacentral:rRNA from 1 species
UCCUACGGGAGGCAGCAGUUAGGAAUUUUGGGCAAUGGGCGCAAGCCUGACCCAGCAACGCCGCGUGGGGGAUGACAGCCUUCGGGUUGUAAACCCCUUUUCCGGGGGAAGAUGAUGACGGUACCUCGGGAAGAAGCCCCGGCUAACUACGUGCCAGCAGCCGCGGUA